rnacentral:rRNA from 1 species
GAGGAACGCGGGCGGCGUGCCUAAUACAUGCAAGUCGAGCGAACGGACGAGAAGCUUGCUUCUCUGAUGUUAGCGGCGGACGGGUGAGUAACACGUGGAUAACCUACCUAUAAGACUGGGAUAACUUCGGGAAACCGGAGCUAAUACCGGAUAAUAUUUUGAACCGCAUGGUUCAAAAGUGAAAGACGGUCUUGCUGUCACUUAUAGAUGGAUCCGCGCUGCAUUAGCUAGUUGGUAAGGUAACGGCUUACCAAGGCAACGAUGCAUAGCCGACCUGAGAGGGUGAUCGGCCACACUGGAACUGAGACACGGUCCAGACUCCUACGGGAGGCAGCAGUAGGGAAUCUUCCGCAAUGGGCGAAAGCCUGACGGAGCAACGCCGCGUGAGUGAUGAAGGUCUUCGGAUCGUAAAACUCUGUUAUUAGGGAAGAACAUAUGUGUAAGUAACUGUGCACAUCUUGACGGUACCUAAUCAGAAAGCCACGGCUAACUACGUG